rnacentral:misc_RNA from 1 species
UUGUGCUUACACAUGCACACACGCACCCAUGCGCAGAGGCACAGGCAGGCCACACUUACACGUCCCAUGGCGCAGAGAUAAAAUUUACCGAUCUGCCUCUCCCUUCCCCGCUCUCUCUCUUGGGCUCUCCGGGCACGCUUCGGUGUCUUGCCUCCCGGUGCACCCACGCGUGGGAGGUACCGAGAGAGGCGAAGGGGGGAGGGGGACGGGAGAAGGACGGCGCGAGGGAGUACACAGCGACACAACCCCCCUCUCCCCCCUUUCAUUACUGUUCGCUCCUCUUAUACUUGUGCACUCGAUUACUUUCCUCUUUUAUGCAUAUUUUUCCUCUUGGGCGUCUCCCUCCUCUUUCCAUUCGUUUCACGGAAUGCGCGCGCUCUUUCUCCCCCUUCGUGGGCUCGCGCAACGCUCUCCCCACCACCGCCACCGCGCUGCUGUGCCUGCUGCAACCUUCAGGAACCCUCCCCCCCUUACCCCCUCCCCUCCAGUAUAUACAUACCCCCGUACAGCAGCGAUUGCCACCGUCGUCAUCGUUAUCAGCUAUGGACGCGUUUCAGGCUACCCUCGAUGAGCUGCAGAGGGAGUCCAAGGAAAAGAUCGCGCACGUGCAGGACACCGCGAGUGCGGCUGUGCUGCAAGCGCGUGUCGUGCCGCACCGCAUUGCCGUCGCCAUGGCGCAGCGCUUUACCAGUGACCGGGUCGAGUCGUGCUUUCCGGUACUGUGCUUGCUGGACGCUACACUCGCGCGUACCGCCUCCGCCUCGCCUUCCACAUCGAGUGAGGCUGAUCAGGCGCUGGAGGCCAUCCUCGCCGAGUUUUGGACGUUGGCUCCCGCCGCCUUCAUGUCUGUCCACGGGGCGGGCCAGCCGGCGUGGCGUGAGAAGUGCUUGCGGCUUGUGCGCCGAUGGAAGCAACGCCGGCUUGUACCCGAGCCGCUGAUCACGGAGCUGCUUACGGCGAUGGAGAAGGGGACUGCCAAGGCGGAGGCAGCAGAGGCAGCAGAGGCCGCGAGCGUGACGGGAGUCUCAAGCAACGCAACAUCCACUGCAGGGACAUCCUCGUCAUCUUUGGCGAUCGCAGCGGCAGCCACGACAAGCGGACAGCCGUCGCCGUCCACCACCGUCACCGCAACCGCUGCUACCACCGCUGCCAUGGCGUCUCCCUCCGCAUCAUACUCGGUGCCGACCCCGUCUUUCACAGCAGCCCAGGCGCGGGCGUUCCGGUCCACUUUGCAGGCGUGCCUGUCCACCCUGGAGAGUCUGCAGCCCGCGCGGGCCGCCUUGUAUCUGGAGCUCGUGCGCUCGCAGCACUUCCGCGCGCCAUCCCGCACGUCCCUUGCGUUCUUCGAGGACCUGCUGAAAGAGCUGCGCCGCGAGGUGACGAUGGCGUCGUCGUCGUCUCCCAACCGAGCGGCCAGCGCAGGUGGCGGCGCGGGAGUCAAGGAAGGAGCCGACCCGGCGUCGAACGGGCACGCCAGAGAAACCCUAGGGAAGCUGCUCGAUCAGUUACACGUCGCCGCUAGUGAGGGGGCGGCCGGACUCAGCGCAGGAGGCCGUGCUGCCGCUGCCGGCGUCGCUGGUGCGGGUGUUCACCACAGCGCCGCCACCACGGUCGUCCGCUAUGUGAGCCCCAUCUUCUCGGACAUCUACGCGAGGCAGGCGCUUGGUCAACGCGGCACUGGCUUCGGCACGCUUCAGCGCAAGGCAGGGCACGGCGGGCCUUCGGGAGGCAGCGCCUUCUACACAUCCUACUACCCCAAAGCAGAGGCGAAUGCGCAGCGGCCGUUUCGAAUCCCGCCGGCACGGCAAAUGCAAGGCGGUGCGGUGCGGCUGCACUUCCCUCGCCAACAAGAGUGGGUGAACGCGCAGGACAUGGCCGACAUCUCGCAGUACGCUAGCCGUGGCAUUACGGACAGGGGCCGCAAGCGGACACGCGAAGGGGUCUAAGCUUGUGGGCGGAGGUGCGAAGCUGCGGGGCAGGCCAUAGAAGCAGUCUACAUAUGCAUAUGCGAAUAUGUGUGUGCGUGUGCGCGUUUGCGCCUAGGCGUGCUGGCCCUCAAGUUGUUCACGGAGGCCGUAGAUCGAAAGAAGCUGAAGAAGACAGCGCAGACCUGGAUACGUUCCCCUUCCGACACCACACACACACAC